AAGCACUUGUUUUGGUGGUUUAAAAGUCACUUUAAUAAGGAGAAGACAUGGGUUCUAAUCCCAGUGUCCUUA
rnacentral:tRNA from 1 species